ACUUUCCCUUUCUACAUCUCACCCUCUCUCUGCCCUCUCUCAUGCAACAUUUUCCAACGACCUUUUCGGAGGUUCCUCAGCGAUAUUGUCUUCCUCUUUUAUAUGGAGUUACUUGGCAUGGUUUGUUUCCUCUGUUUGUUGAGUAGAGCCGCAAGGGGUUUUUUCAACCCGUAUUCAUCAGAGGAAAUUUGCUUGACCCAUCACCUGAUAUAAACUCGAAGUAUCUUCGUGUGCCUGCUCAUUCCCCCACUCAUAGUCCUGGUCAUUAUCUUCAAUUCCUUCAAGCUACAGUUGCCCGCUUCAUAUCUGGAGACAAAGGAUCGAAGUUUGGACGUCCCAGAUUUAGCCCUACUCUUCUUACGGUAAAGUUUCAUUGUCUCUACCGUCUCUAUGCAUUUGAUAUAUUUCCAACAAAGAAUGCUUUUGCUGUGAGUUCCUCAAUGGGGAUGUUGAUUUGCUGCAUUGAUAAUCAUGCACCACUUGUGGAUUAUGGUCGGGUGGUUCUGGAGAGAAUGCUGAAAUUCACUGGAGACAAAAUUUCCGAGUCGGGCCAUCAUCGGUAUCCUGCCCUAACCAUAGGCUUGCUGGGAUCAUUAGGAAUAAAGCCUCGUGAUGGUUGUCUAGACGACAAAUAGACUUCAAUUGAAGACUGGGCCUUUGUUAUUUCAGCUCAAAUAUUAUGGAGGCCUAUUUAGCACGUGUCUCAGAAAUCGCUUGAAUAUGGUGAUUGUGGUCCAGGUGGAUGUGUCUCACAGAUGAUGAAUUUCCAUAGAAAAAGAAUCUAAUUUACUAUAACAGAUUGGUUGGUAAAAUGAGCUUGGCUGAGUGGUAUUGUUGUUGGUGUGUUUUUUGGGUGUGAGAUUGAGUGAUUAUCAAAUAUUGGAACUGUUGGGAGAUAGCUAUUUGCAUUCAUGUUGGGUAGGGGUUGAGAAAUUGGUGUAAAUUUCUUGAUGAGUCCUGCUUGAAUGGUGUUUAUGUAUCUCGAAGUUUUGAUGAUUUCGAUAAUGGAUUAUGCCUAGGUUGAAAUCCCCCAGAUGUAGGCUUGUGCAGCCAAAUUGGGUUAACAUCUUAGUUGUAUAAUUUAUUAUCAUCUCCAUUACUGUUUGCAUUCGUAUUUUA